AAAACAUGUCUUUUUGUUUAUUUAGAAAGUCUGGCCUGCCCGGUGAGUGUUUAACGGCCGCGGUAAAUUGACCGUGCAAAGGUAGCAUAAUCAUUAGUCUUUUAAUAGAAGUCUGGUAUGAAAGGUUUAACGAAACAUAAGCUGUCUUAAAUUUUAUACGUUGAAGUUAGCUUUUAAGUUAAAAGGCUUAAAUUUAAUUGAUGGACGAGAAGACCCUAUAGAUUUUUACAUGACUAAUUAUUUUUGUUUAAUUGAUUAAAAAUUAAUAUAGUUUUUAGUUUUGUUUAGUUGGGGUGACUAUAGAUAUAUAAUUAACUUUUAUAUUUUACAACCAUUAAUUUAUGAUUAUUAGAUCCAUUAUUAUUGAUUAUUAGAUCAAAUUACCUUAGGGAUAACAGCGUAAUCUUCUUUCAGAGUUCAAAUUUACAAGAAGGCUUGCGACCUCGAUGUUGGAUUAAGAUAAUUGUUAGGUGCAGUAGCUUAAUAAAUAGGUCUGUUCGACCUUUAAAUUCUUACGUG
rnacentral:rRNA from 1 species